GUCCUUGUUUGUAGUGUGGGUAUCAGGAGAAUGAGGCAAGCCAAGCUGUGAGGAGUCUGUGGGUCAUGGCUUUGGCAGCGUGGAACCUGGGACAUAGAGUCCCCCUUGAUACGGCUGUUCAGCAGACCAACUUUGUUGUAAAUAUUUAGAUAAAAAUGGGCUUUAGAGCAGCCACAUCUGAAGACCCACAAGGCUGAAUGUUACACAGGGGGAGCACCAUUAUUUAAUCUGAACAUCUGGAAUCCAUCAUGUGUAGUGAAGGACAAGAUGUAUCCUCAUUUUUAAGCCAACUCCAUGAUAAAAUUGAUGGAUGGGACCAAUGUGUACAGGUGAAGAAGAUUGAUACUUAAGAUCUCAAUCAGAAUCUGAUUGAAGAUAAACUCAUCCUAUUUGGAUCAGAGCAUUAGAAGAAAGAAAGAACUGACACUUCUCAACCUUCUCUAGUUGAAGACUUCUCUUUGCUAUAACUACUUGAAGAGUUCAGCAGAAAAAUUUUACUGAAGAAUCCCUGAUCCUCCUUUAAGUAGCUGUAGAGAAUAUUCACUAAGUGUAAUGGGACACGUCUCUCUCAUGCCCACUUCUUUUCUCUUAUCCCUGCAAGAAAAUGAAGUUUUGUUGGAGUCAGAGGUUUAUUUUAGUUUAUUUUAAUCAGAAACGUGUAUGAAAUCCAAAGCACAUGAUCUUCAUUUUUAAUAACGUAAACCAUCCCCAUGUUUAUGUGCUUUCUCUGGUCCUCAACCUUUUUUUUUCUUUUUAAUUUUAAGAACAUCUGUCCCCACUGCAACUUCACUUUCAUCAGGAAAUCUAAUUACAGAGAUAGAAAAGAGUAUAGUAGGUGAAGCAAAAGACAGCAGCUCCACCUCUUAAUACUGAAUACUUAGAUGACUGCCAGAUGAAUAGCUGGAUCCUUUUGUGGCUAACUAACUCACCUGGUGUAGAGAAAGACAGUUGAUAGAUCAAAAAAGUAUACAGAUAACAGAGAGCAAGUGAUAUGGAUAUGAAAGACAUUAGGGAGCAUACAAAUGCAGUUUGGCCAGGAUUUAUUUCUAGUUAUGGACUGAUGAGGAGACAUGGGGAAAAAUUGUCAAAUUAAAAAAAAUCUUUUUGGCAAAUUUAAACUUUGCCUCUAUCCUUUUUCUCUUAAUCUGCUACCCAGAUAUGCACUUCAAAUAGGAAUGUGGGCCUACUGGGGCAUGAAAUAGUUGAGAGCUAUUCAACAAUGAGGAGAAUGAGAGAAAUCUAUUUAGAAGGACAUUUUAGAAUUUAAGCCAGUUGAACCUUAAUAGUCACAGAUAAUUUAACAUGACCCCUAAACCAUUAGGGGGGUUUUUACUACAAGGACUUGGCUCUGUAUUAACAAUGUCAUCCUUCUUAGAAAUUGAUAACUAUAGAAGUUAUCCUAUGUGGAGUAAGAUAAGAAUGACUGCUCUUCAUGUUUACAAGAGAUUAGAGUGGAUAAGAACCAGGUGAAACAGGAAUCCCAAGGGAUCUCCUUCCUUCUCAGAGUCAUAGCCAUUCCAGGGAAUCUGCACAUUUUCUGGCUUUCCCAUUUCUAUCAGAUGGUUACUUAGGAACAAAUGAAAAUCAGCAAAAGUGCCAUGAUAAUUAUCACAAAUUCGUAUGAAAUAAUGAGGCAGUUGAAUGCAUUUUUUCUGUCUUAUCUCUGUUUGUCAAUGAGCUAAACAGUGUGUUCAGGUCCCUCUGAAUACUUGGAGGAGCAAGAUUCUUUAGCCUUGUCUCACUGAUUCCCAAAGUUUAUCUAAGUCUUUCCAGAGGAGGACCUCUAUUGUCAACACUUGAUAGCCAAACCCUUCCUUUGUUUUUUUCCUUCUAUACACUACUUGUUAAUCAACUUGCACAAAACCAAUUUCUGGUUCAACUUUGUCCUGAGCUGCUAACUGGCUAUGACUUUAUUUUACAGGUGCAGUAACUUUGUUAGCUGUUAUUUUGAGGAGCUCCAGCCAUGGGCUCAUUUGAUAGAUUUAAUUGCCAACAUCUUGAACAAACCCCUUGAUUUUAAAAUUUUAAUUUAGCAUGUUUAACAUGAAAGAGGAUUGCCGAAUAAGUGUCCCAUUUGAUUUACUCUAUAAGUAAUACAGCUGUUUGUCUUUAUUUGAAAAAUAAAGGUAGACACUUAGAAAUGAAAGAUGAAAGCUUGGAAUGUGACCUGUAAGUCCAGAAAUCACAGACCAGAAAGCAAGAAAGGAACAUGAACAGCACAUGUCAAGUAUCCAGGAAUUUCUAAGUAUAAUGCAGAACUUGGGGCAUGAGAAAUAAUCUCUCUCUCUCUGUGCGUGUGUGUGUGUGUGUUUUCUUUAUCUGAGCAUGUUUUUUUAUAUACUGCCUUUUCUGGUAACUUCAUUAGGUCUGUAUAAUUAUAGUUUGCUUCAACCUUAGUCUGCAUCAGUAUUCAUUAUUAUCUAUUUGGUGCAUUGUAGCAGCAUAAAUAUAACUAAAUUACUAGGGUCAAACCAUAAUGGGAGCUGUUGUGAUGGUAAUUAGAGCAGAAAUAUAGUCCUUUUUUGGUAAAACUUGCAGAAUUGUAGCAUGAGGUGUGUUCUUAUAGGGUACAAUUAAAGCCAGGUUGUGGGUUCAAGGUGGUAAAAUGAUGGAUAAUGAAGGUACACCAUUAAUCACAGUUCCAAAAGAUGCUCUGUAUCAAUUCUUUUCUCUCUGAAAGGUAGCUCAGAGGUUGAUGCUAAGACAAAAACCAACAGAGGGCUUAGAGGUAAGAUGCCAACUUCCGUGCCUUCACUAAUUGUCACUAGAAAGCUGAAACUGUAUCGAACUCUUUAAAAGGAAAAAAAGAAACUAGUAGAAAGCAUCUCAGUGUGGUUAUUGAAAUCAUUAAAUUUGAACUUAGUGGAGCAAUGCUUUAAUUCUAUGUGUCUUUGCCAUGUUGGACUGAGUCUCUCACAUAACAUCUUUAGAAUUUAGAAUGUGCUAUAACUUGGAGCGGAAUCACCCUUAUUGUCUUUACACACAGCCCAUAAUCCUGAAAAGCAGAAACAGAAUUCCACUCUUAACCCCCUCAGUUUGCAGAAUGUCUAAGUGUAGUGACUCUAGACUCAAUGUGAGGUAUGUGGAAAUGCUUCAGAAGAGAACAAGGCCUCGGCUGGGCGCAGUGGCUCACGCCUGUAAUCCCAGCACUUUGGGAGGCUGAGGCGGGCGGAUCAUGAGGUCAGGAGAUCAAGACCAGCUUGGCCAACAUGGUGAAACCCCAUCUCUACUAAAAAUACAAAAAAAAUUACCUGGGCAUGGUGGUGCAUGUCUGUAGUCCCAGCUACUCGGGAGGCUGGGGCAGGAGAAUUGCUUGAACCCAGGAAGCAGAGGCUACAUACAGUGAGCUGAGAUCGUGCCACUGCACUCCAGCCUGGGCAACAGAGCAGGACUCCGUCUCAAAAACAAAACCUAAAACAAACAAAAAAAGAGAACAAGGCCUCAAAAUUAACAAAUAUCUGCUGAUUAACUUUUUUCACUAGCAGCAAAAAAAUUGGAAUAAUUCUCAACCAGUGAAAUAUCUCAUUAAAAACCCAAUUAAAAAGUCUGUGUACCCAAAAUGUAAGAAAGGCUUGCUCUUUAAGCACACAAUUGAAGCCUUUGAUGUCUACCUAGGAUUGCUCAUUUGAUCUCAUUUGAUGUACUCCUGGAAACUUAGUAAGUAUGUAGGCAUGCGGCAUGUUCAAGGUCGUAGGCAACCUUUUCCAAACUAAGUUCUUUGCCCUUCAUGGCUUUGUGGAAUUUAAAAAAUCAAUUAUAUUUUAUACUCUGAAAUAAAAGUUUCCAAUUUGGAAAGAUGUUUAAAGUCAACGGUUGUUUCUCCAAUAACUAACACAGAGCUUGGCAUACAGUAGGCACCUUAUAAAUUUCUCUUUGAGAGAAUGAAUAAAUGCCUGGGUAAAGCUAAUUGAUACAAAAGGGCUCAAUAAACUUGUGAAUAUUAAAUGAAAAAAUGGAAAAACAAUUGGCCUCUAAUAACCACACAGAAAACUGAGUACAUGUUUUCUGCUCUUUCUGAUUUUCCAAAACACACAGUUAAGAAGUUUCUCAUGUAGCCUGACACAUAAAGGUUUAGAUGGUGAGUUAUUUAUUGGAUAUACUAUUCAUUAUAUAAUCAUUUGUGUAUCUUUUGACAUUAAUUGUUCAACUUUGUAUGAUUUCAUAAUCAGUUAUAGAUUAUUUGAGCCCUCCUUUUUUAAGGCUACUUUCAAAUUGUAUAGUUAAUUUUAUAGUUUUUUAUAAAGCUACUCAAGUGAUUCAUUAUUAUAGAUAACUUUGAUUAUACGUUCAAAUUUUAAAAACUGAUUAAUAAGCCAACAUUAUGGCAGAUUGAAUAAUUUCUUAGCAAAUAUAUGCUUUUUUUUCCUUAUGCCCAUGCUUGACUUUCAGCUCAGCUGUUGGUCCAUGGAUGUUCGUAGAUGUGACUUAAACAGAUGCUUGAAUUGUGCUAUACAUUUAGGCUUGCUCUCCCGCUCUGUCUUCUGCCAUGAGAAGCCACUGACCGGGAUAAGGAAGAUGAGAAAUAGUCAUGGCAGAUCUAUACCCAGCCUAUAGCUCUGAGCAAAACUCUGAGUCAAACUCGGCCUGCAAUUUGCAGACUCCCUGCUGGCCUGAAAAAAUUCGUGUUCAUUGUGGAAAGCCAAUUUUCAUUGUGGAAAGCCAAUGAAAAGAAAAUUCGUGUUCAUUGUGGAAAGCCACUAAGUUUGUCUGUUUUGUUAUGUAGCAUUGUUGAGAAAAUAGUAGACUGAUACAACUGUUUAUGAAUUAACACCAUUUUGCUUUUAGGCACAUCUUCUUUAUGUAGGUACCGUAACAUAGGUUCCCUUGAUCUUUGCCAUAAUCUCAUAAAUCAGACACUAUCAUAUCCCCAUUUUAUACAUUUGAAAUCUGAGGCCUCAAGAGGUGAAGAGAAUUCCUAGACAAGACUUGACACCAACUUGUACAUCUCCAAAUCCCAUGUUACACGCUGCUUCAUCCAUUUAAAUGUAGCUUAGUUAGCCUGCCUCUCUGGUACCUAGUAAGUCCUCAAUAAACACUAAUUUGCUUACCUUUCCUUCUUCUUUCUUAAAUUGUAUGUAUCAAGUUAAAUGGAAAUGUUUGAUUAAAAUAAGCUAACCAAGGCCUUGUGUAGAAUAGAAGGAGGUAUUGUGCAUGUUUUCUCCUGAUAAGAUGCUUCUAAUAUAGGAAUGGAUGCAAAAAUAAACUAGUAUAACAAUAAGAAGCUACCUGUCACAUAUUUAACAAAUAGAUUGAGAUAGUAAUUAAAGCAUUGUCUCAAUACAGACAUAAUUGAAAAGCUGAGUACUUCAGUUAAUAGUCACUUUAGAAGGUGAGAAAAAAAGAGAUCUAUGCAGUAAUAAACAAAGUAGACUUAAUUCAUUAGUACUAUUCAAUCUCUCCUUAAACUGAAGAUUAAGAGCUGAUUGUAAGUAUUUUAUAGUCAGCAUACUUAUACUGUAAUAGUACUACAGAAACAGUCUCUCCAAAUGCAUAUUUAAAGUUGUGUAGCUCCUCCUUACAUGCAUAUUUGAAGUCAAAUUAUGAUUUUUGGAAAAGAAGAUCUAUCCCUAAAAGACAUUUCUCAUUCACUAUGACUGUCUGGAAUACCCUCCCCUUCCUUGUAUGCUUGGUACAGUAAAUUCCUUUAUAUUUAACUUAAGGACCACCUCUUUUCCUAUGCCUUUUCUGAUCUUCCCAUAUAGAUGGUCUUUCUCUCUCCUACACUUCAGUAACAAAAAUGGCAAAAUUUUAAUAGAUUUUGACAUUGUUUUAUUUAUGUCAUCUUCCUAUCUUCUUCCUCUACUCAGCUCUUUGAAGGCAGGUGUUUUGACCUUCCUUGUUAGCAAAUUUAGUGUUUGACAUACAGUAGGCACUGCCAAAACAUAGAAUAAAUAAAUAGACACAGUUAAGUCUUAAGAACUCAGUCUUUAGGAAGAGAGAAAAACAGAAAUGUAAUCAUUUAUAAAGAGAAUUGAGAGAACUAAUUCUUGUUGCCAAGAGGCCAGGACUCAAUUAGGCUAUUGAAUUAUGAUCAGUGGGGAAGAGAACUGAAAACAGAAAAAGAAAGAGAGGUUCAAUGUGUUCAAUGGAAAGACAAGAAAGGAUAAUAGAGAUAGAAUAUUUUCUUUUAAGUAGUUGAAAUAUUUCUUUUCUUUCCUUGAAUCCUUGAGGCACUCUGUCAGCUGGCAUUAAAUAUUUAUCAGAGA
rnacentral:lncRNA from 1 species